UAGAAACUGUUGCAAGAACCCUUGGAGCUCUACUCCCGUGGACAUGACCCAAGUGUUGGGAGGCACCAUGAAUAGAAUUUAGUCACACUGACAUCAUAGAGGUUGCCAAAACCCUGCAUGAUCCUAAAAAAAUGAGUGAGAAGAGGGGUAGAAUGAAAACUCCUACAUGAGGAUUCCUCACCAAACGAGGGAAGUGGGGUAAAAAG
rnacentral:lncRNA from 1 species